AAUUGGAGGACCGAACCCAAUACUGUUGCAACAGGAUGGGAUGAGCUGUGGAUCGGAGUGAAAGGCUAAUCAAGCACGGAGAUAGCUGGUUCUCCCCGAAAACUUUUUAGGUAGUGCCUCGUGUAUAUCUCAUUGGGGUAAAGCACUGUUUCGACAAUGGGGGUUUUAAGACCUUACUGACUCGAUGCAAACUCAGAAUACGAUGAAUUUCGAACACGGGCGACACACUGCGGUUGCUAAGGUACGCAGUGGAAAGGGAAACAGCCCAGACCGCCAACUA
rnacentral:rRNA from 1 species